GAAAAACCUUCAGGCUCCGCCUCUGCCACGUGCCGGCCGGUGUCAAAAGCUGAUAUUGAGGCUUCCCCUUAUAAUAAAGCCGUCCACGCUAGCUUUUUCAGUGGCCGGUCUUCGAAAGCUUCGCCUCGUCUACCUGAACGAACCAGACAAAACUCACCAUGAAGGCAAUUCAACUCAUCCUGUGCUUUGGUGUUCUUGCCGCAGCAUAGAACCACAAGCAAAGGAACAGGUUCUACAAGAAGCCGAGAAAGAAAACUACCUCCGAAGGGCAGCGAUCGACAGCUGGCUCGAAAAUAACCAGGAAUCAGAGCCAGCCGUUCUACGCCAACGCCUCGAGAAUCUAUUUGGUGAGGUUGUUGCAAGAAAAGAAAAAUUCACAGUCAACGAAGAAGACGUGGGCGAUGUCAACGGCGACGUCAGCGAGUAUGGUCUCGGAAAGAAGCUGAAGAAGUGGAAGAACAAAGUGAAGAAGGUUCUGGGCGACGCCGCUAAGGCAGUUAUUGUCAACAAGGUGGUCGGUUCUUUAGGCUAAGAGAUGGAGAUCCUGGUUCUUCAUCGAAAGUGGAUGAUUCUAUCCAGUGCCUUUUUUUUAUAACAAUCUGGUGGAGGGCUGGAAACGUUUCAAAAAAUAAACAGCGUUGUUAGCACUACACCACUUUAUUUCUCUUGCAGA